UGUGUUCUAGCUCUACCUCCAUCUGCAGUCUGAGGGCUGGGAAGCAGCUGGUGGUGGAGCUGAAAAAGGCUAAUGGCAGCCUGGGCAUCAGUGUAGCUGGUGGAGUGAACACCAGUGUUCAUGACGGGGGGAUCUACAUCGAGAGUCUGGUGCCAAGGGGUGCUGCUGAACAGGACGGACGCAUUCAGAUUGGUGACCGACUGCUGGAAGUUGAUGGGUCCAACUUGCGAGGUGUAACACAAAAACAGGCCGUGGAGUGCCUGAAGAGGACUGGAGAGGU